rnacentral:rRNA from 1 species
UUACUGUAGCUUUGCAUUGGACUUUGAACCGAUCUGUGUAGGAUAGGUGGGAGGCUAUGAAACCGGAACGCUAGUUUCGGUGGAGCCGUCCUUGAAAUACCACCCUGGUUUGUUUGAGGUUCUAACCUUGGCCCGUGAUCCGGGUCGGGGACAGUGCAUGGUAGGCAGUUUGACUGGGGCGGUCUCCUCCCAAAGCGUAACGGAGGAGUACGAAGGUACGCUAGGUACGGUCGGAAAUCGUGCUGAUAGUGCAAUGGCAUAAGCGUGCUUAACUGCGAGACCGACAAGUCGAGCAGGUGCGAAAGCAGGUCAUAGUGAUCCGGUGGUUCUGUAUGGAAGGGCCAUCGCUCAACGGAUAAAAGGUACUCUGGGGAUAACAGGCUGAUACCGCCCAAGAGUUCAUAUCGACGGCGGUGUUUGGCACCUCGAUGUCGGCUCAUCUCAUCCUGGGGCUGUAGCCGGUCCCAAGGGUAUGGCUGUUCGCCAUUUAAAGAGGUACGUGAGCUGGGUUUAAAACGUCGUGAGACAGUUUGGUCCCUAUCUGCCGUGGGCGUUGGAUAUUUGAAGGGGGCUGCUCCUAGUACGAGAGGACCGGAGUGGACGAACCUCUGGUGUACCGGUUGUCACGCCAGUGGCAUCGCCGGGUAGCUAUGUUCGGAAGAGAUAACCGCUGAAAGCAUCUAAGCGGGAAACUCGCCUUAAGAUGAGAUAUCCCUGGGGACUAGAUCCCCUUGAAGGGUCGUUCGAGACCAGGACGUUGAUAGGUCAGGUGUGUAAGCGCAGUAAUGCGUUCAGCUAACUGAUACUAAUUGCCCGUAAGGCUUGAUCCU